ACGGCUCAGUAACACGUGGACAAUCUGCCNUGAAGAAGAGGAUAAUCCCGGGAAACUGGGGGUAAUACUCUAUAGUCCGGGAGGACUGGAAUGUUCUCCGGAUGAAAGAUCCGUCGCUUCAGGAUGAGUCUGCGGCCGAUUAGGUAGUUGUUGGGGUAAAAGCCCAACAAGCCCGUAAUCGGUACGGGUUGUGGGAGCAAGAGCCCGGAGAUGGAUUCUGAGACACGAAUCCAGGCCCUACGGGGCGCAGCAGGCGCGAAAACUUUACAAUGCGGGCAACCGUGAUAAGGAAACCCCGAGUGCCACCACAGGGUGGCUGUCCACCAGUGUAAAAAACUGGUGAAGAAAGGGCCGGGCAAGACCGGUGCCAGCCGCCGCGGUAAUACCGGCGGCUCGAGUGGUGGCCGCUUUUACUGGGCUUAAAGGGUCCGUAGCUUGAUUCACAAGUCCCUUGAGAAAUCCAUCGGCUUAACUGAUGGGCGUUCAGGGGAUACUGUGGUUCUAGGGACCGGGAGAGGUGAGAGGUACUGCCGGGGUAGGAGUGAAAUCCUGUAAUCCCGGUGGGACGACCUAUGGCGAAGGCAUCUCACCAGAACGGCUCCGACAGUGAGGGACGAAAGCUGGGGGAGCAAACCGGAUUAGAUACCCGGGUAGUCCCAGCUGUAAACGAUGCGCGUUAGGUGUGUCAGUGAUCACGUGUCACUGAGAUGCCGAAGGGAAACCGUGAAACGCGCCGCCUGGGGAGUACGGUCGCAAGGCUGAAACUUAAAGGAAUUGGCGGGGGAGCAC
rnacentral:rRNA from 1 species